rnacentral:misc_RNA from 1 species
CACGGAUUCUCAAAUAGCCGACCAAGAGAGAAUUUUUAUGUAAUUACUGAAAUUUUCAGGCCCACCAAGAGAGAAUUUUCAUGUAAUUACUGAAAUUUUCACCAGGGAACCAUUAUAUUCAAGCUUGGUUGUCCCAUUUCCACCGUCGUCCUACCUCCUCAAGAACUUUAGCACGGGCUUGGCUUUUCCUAGCUUCAUCCUCUACCCAAGAUCUAAGAAUUCGAAGAGCUUCUGUUUCAGCUUCUGCUAUUGAUUUUUUAUCAAGCAUCCCUUCCUGCUUGGUCUGCAAUUCACUUAGCAACUCCUGUAGCUUACACUGUUCAGCUACAUACAUAGACCUCUCUGAUGUAAGCCUUUCUGACAUCUCAUCAACCUCGUCCUUCAGACCAAGAAGCAGUUGCCUUUGACAGUCCAUGGCUGCCUUCUCCUUCAAAUGCUCAGCCAAAGUUUUCUCCUGCACAGUUUUUUCAUGUUCCAAAUCAUGUAAUACAGCAAUAUAAAGUUUUUGAAUCUCAAGUCCUCGGGCUCUUUCUUCAUUCAUCUUCUCAUCCCAAAACCUCUCUAUAUCUCCUUUGUCAAGCAACUCAGACCUUAUUUCCUUCAUUGCAACUUGCCUUGAUGAAUUUUCAGCUUCCAAUCUUAAUAUUUCAUUAUAAAUAGCUUCUGUCAUCCUGCCACUGGUCAAUGCCACUGCUGCUUGUGCUUUUGUCAAAGGUUUAUUUGGUUGAACCCGCCUACUCUGUCCAAAAACUUUUCUGAUUAUACUCUGGUCUCCAGCCAACAAGUCGAUAAGGAGUUCAGCUGAAGCAUCUGAACUGAUCUCCUUCACAUCCAUGUAAUCUACCUUUAUUCUUGACAUCUGUUCUGUCAUUUCUGGCAUGAACCUAUACUCUAACUGAGCUUUCCAGUUGAUUAAAUCCUGCCGAGAAAUAAACCUGUCAGGGUAAAAGAAGAAGCUUAGAUCUCCA